ACAAUUUUAUUUAAUAUUUGUUUUACUCAUUAAUCACAAAUUUACAUUAUUUGUAUUAUAAAGUAUCAGACAGAACUUUAUCUCAAUUUUAGUUUUUAUAAACUUAAAAUUAGUAUCUAAUUGUUCCUUACAGCUACCUUUGGUAUCAUGAACAUACAAGAAAUACACAUGAUCUAUAUUUCCCGAAAUUAAAAGAUCUACUUUUUAACAUAAAUUACUGUAGCAAUAGUAAUUAUAAUAAAUAGUAGUUAUGAAAACUUAAUCGAUUUUAAUUAUACCUGGUUUCAAUCUAAAUAAUACAAAAUAAUAACUAUAAAUUAGUUAAUAAAUUACUUGGUUAAGCUAAGUACAUUUGAGUUAACUCUUUUACUUAAUACAGGAUUAGAUUUAAAAGUAAUCUAUACUUAGUGUCAUUAUAGCUAUCUAUUCUAUAUAUCUAAAUCUUAAUAAUAAACUCUUUAGAGAUUGAAUUUAGGAAUAAUCUUUUUCCUAAUUUAUAAUGUAUGUAUUAUUAGUUAUAAAUAUAAAAUAUUUUAAUCUUACAAUAUGAAAUCAGAAUUCGGCUUUUUUUCUACAACUGUUUAUUAAAAACAUAGCUUUGAGAUUUAUUCAAAGUAUCUUCUGCCCACUGAUUAAUUGAAUGGCCGCAGUACUCUGACUGUGCUAAGGUAGCGUGAUUCUUGUUUUCUUAAUUAGAAAUCUGUUCAAAGAAUGAUAUGUGGAAAAUCUAUUGUUUUCAUACUUAAACAAACUUAAAUUGUUAGUGAAAAUUCUAACUAGCUCUUAAAAGACGAGAAGACCCCAUAAAACUUAAUUUAAUUCUUUAAUUUUUAUUUUUUCAAAUUUAAAUGGGGACUUUAGAGUAUAAUAAUAACUUGUUGACCUAUAAAUUUAAUAACUGAAAAGCUACUUUGGGGAUAACAGGGUGAGAUAUUUAAAGAGUCCUUAUCGAUAAAUAUAAUUACUACCUCGAUGUUGGAUUAUCUUUUCAUAUAUAUUGUAGCAGUAUAUAUUGUUAGUCUGUUCGACUAUUAAAAAGUUACAUGAUCUGAGUUUAAACCGUUGCAAGACAGGUUGGAUUUUAUCUUUAAUAUAAUAUUUAAAUUUGUUAGUACGAAAGGAAUUCAAAUUUGCAAUGAUUGCU
rnacentral:rRNA from 1 species